AGUCUCGUUCGCGCACAAGCACGGAUUUUCACAUGAAUCAAUGUAGAGCGCAUGCAAUUGUAUACUACAACCUCGAGCACUGGAUUAUUACUUCCCUUUUGGCUUCGACUUGUCCUAAGUUUUGCAUUCAUUGACAUUCUUUGAGAAAAGGGAACUCUCUGCCUCAUGCACACUUUGUGUGGAGUAGAGACAUGAGGAGCUAGUUGGAAGCGCGAACCUCCUUGCUCUUCUUCUUUCCCUUCUCUUCCCCGGAGCUUGGAUUUUUCUUCUUCCUUUUUUAUAGUAAUACCAUCUCUAUAUAUAUCUAGAGAAAGAAUUUGCAUAAUUACAAUUAUUGAAUAAAAUAACAAAUAACAAC